CCUACGGGAGGCAGCAGUGAGGAAUAUUGGUCAAUGGACGAGAGUCUGAACCAGCCAAGUAGCGUGAAGGAUGACUGCCCUAUGGGUUGUAAACUUCUUUUAUAUGGGAAUAAAAUGUUCCACGUGUGGGAUUUUGUAUGUACCAUAUGAAUAAGGAUCGGCUAACUCCGUGCCAGCAGCCGCGGUAAUACGGAGGAUCCGAGCGUUAUCCGGAUUUAUUGGGUUUAAAGGGAGCGUAGGUGGAUUGUUAAGUCAGUUGUGAAAGUUUGCGGCUCAACCGUAAAAUUGCAGUUGAAACUGGCAGUCUUGAGUACAGUAGAGGUAGGCGGAAUGCGUGGUGUAGCGGUGAAAUGCUUAGAUAUCGCGAAGAACUCCGAUUGCGAAGGCAGUUCACUGGACUGCAACUGACACUGAGGCUCGAAAGUGUGGGUAUCAAACAGGAUUAGAUACCCUGGUAGUC
rnacentral:rRNA from 1 species